AAACGUUUAAAGUCCCUUCAGGUCAAACAUUGAGGGACUUACAGGAUCUCCUUUUUUACUGAAGCAGCCAUGUUGAAUCUCUUGAAAGUUAAGAUCUGUGUAAAUCAAGGUUGCUGAGAUACUUUCUUCAUUUCCAGCAGUUGGAUCAAAAAAGGACAAGAAUAUAAACUGAGG
rnacentral:lncRNA from 1 species